rnacentral:lncRNA from 1 species
GAAUUGUCAAGAGGUGUUGGAAGUAGUACAUGAAGUCUGCCGUAUUUUUUAAUCACAUAAAUCUCAAGCUUCCCAUGUUCAUACCUUCAGCUAUUGAAACUUCAGGUUUGAAUAAUAUGUGCUUGGACUAAUAUGUGAAGGGAAUAUUUAUUGAGCUCUUCUUGGACUACUAAUAAUUUUAAAUAAAUAAAUGCAUAGAUAGCUUUCUUCCACCCCCUUUAAUUGAAGACUUUGUUGCUAUAUUUAUCCCUCACCCCUCAGCAUUAUGAUUUUGUACUUUUCUGCUUUUUCUGUCAAUUCUUGACUGGUUGAGCUGUAAUUCAACUUUGCAUCCUCUCCAUCUGAAUGAUAGUACAUAUUGCUUGUUGGAAGUUAGAAAAAUGAAUGUGUGUAAAUAUGUAUAUAUAUAUGUAUAUAUAUAUAUAUAUAUAUAUAUAUAGUAUUCAAUAACCUUGGGAUAAGAGCAAUAAAUACACAGCAAAGGAGUUGGAAAAUGCUUCCUCUCCCAGAGAUUGUACUUGGGGCUGCACCUGCCAAGAUCUACUAUUCCACAGCUUUUGACUGAGAAUAUGCAAAAAUCUUGAUAGACUUUUGGGUCAAUUUGGCCUGCAAUAUAGAAUUUCAAAAAUUGAGAGUGACUAAAGUUUUUGGUCUACAAAUUCAACCUUCAAAUCCCUACUAUUGAGCACAAAAGAUGAAGCAGCUCAUCAUCUUGUUGAUGCCAGCCUUCCAACAAUGGACUUUUGCCUUUGGACCACUUAAAAAGUGUGGAAAAAUAUUUAAUAAAAAAUAAAAUCCCAUGAAAAAUUGUCUGAUGAAGUUAUUUUUUAAAAAUAAAAUAAAAAACAAAACAAAACAAAAGUAUACAGACAAACAGCCUUUUCCAUUCUAUUAUUUUAUUUCUCUUAUGCUUGCUGAACAUGAAUGGUGUGUUGGUUCUUUAUUCUUUUAUUUUAUUUCUCUUGUACUCACUGAACAUGAAUGUUGCAUUGGUCUUCCUGAAUUUUCUCAACAUGGUA